GACGAACGCUGGCGGCGUGCUUAACACAUGCAAGUGGAGCGACGAACCGGGGCUUGCCCCGGGGCAGAGCCGCGAACGGGUGAGUAACACGUGGGUAACCUGCCUCAAUGAUUGGGACAACCCGGGGAAACUCGGGCUAAUACCAAAUGUGUUCACUCCUUCUAGGGGAGUGAGGAAAGGAAGCUUCGGCCUCCGCAUUGAGAUGGGCCCGCGGCCCAUUAGCUUGUUGGUGAGGUAACGGCUCACCAAGGCUUCGAUGGGUAGCUGGUCUGAGAGGACGAUCAGCCACACUGGGACUGAGACACGGCCCAGACUCCUACGGGAGGCAGCAGUGGGAAUCUUGCACAAUGCGCGAAAGCGUGAUGCAGCAACGCCGCGUGGGGGGAAGACGGGCCUUCGGGUUGU
rnacentral:rRNA from 1 species